rnacentral:rRNA from 1 species
GGGGGAUAUUGCACAAUGGGCGAAAGCCUGAUGCAGCAACGCCGCGUGAGGGAAGAAGGUUUUCGGAUCGUAAACCUCUGUCCUCGGUGAAGAUAAUGACGGUAGCCGAGGAGGAAGCUCCGGCUAACUACGUGCCAGCAGCCGCGGUAAUACGUAGAGAGCAAGCGUUGUCCGGAAUUACUGGGUGUAAAGGGUGCGUAGGCGGCAUUUCAAGUCAGGCGUGAAAUCUAUGGGCUCAACCCAUAAACUGCGCUUGAAACUGGAAUACUUGAGUGAAGUAGAGGCAGGCGGAAUUCCUAGUGUAGCGGUGAAAUGCGUAGAGAUCGGGAGGAACACCAGUGGCGAAGGCGGCCUGCUGGGCUUUAACUGACGCUGAGGCACGAAAGCGUGGGUAGCAAAC